rnacentral:lncRNA from 1 species
UAAAGAAAAGGUAGGCAUUUUGAUUCCCAAGUAAACUAAAGAGAAGAAAACUGAGGCUUAAAGAGGGCCUGUUUGCGUGUUCCCAACUGCUAUGUGGCCAAGAAUAAGAAUCUUUAAUAUUGGUAUCCUUAUUUACAAAGAAAAUGAGUGCAGAAAGGACAAGUAGUUUUCGUGAAACCACUUGGAAGUGGAGGAGAAGGGUUUUGAACUCCCAUCAUCUCAAGCUCAUGCUUUGCCAUCUCACCACAGUGAAAUGAUGGAAAACUCAAGUCUGCAAACCUUAAAUUUUCAAUCAAAGGGAGGAAACCUUGGGCAAAUGAAGAGGUCAUGGAUAUGAUAUGAAAAUAUUUUAUGAUUUUGCAUGUGAGAAGCUACUGCAUAGAUGAAUUCAACUGCAGGAUCCCUUUUAAAAAAUAUGUAUCUUCAAGGUUGAGUGUGAGCCUUCACAAACUCCUCCUU